GACUAGAUUAAGCUGCUUUCUGAUUGA
rnacentral:piRNA from 1 species